rnacentral:rRNA from 1 species
CAGCACCUCAAGUGGUCAGGAUGAUUAUUGGGCCUAAAGCAUCCGUAGCCGGCGCUGUAAGUUUUCGGUUAAAUCUGUACGCUCAACGUACAGGCUGCCGGGAAUACUGCAGCGCUAGGGAGUGGGAGAGGUAGACGGUACUCGGUAGGAAGGGGUAAAAUCCUUUGAUCUAUUGAUGAACACCUGUGGCGAAGGCGGUCUACCAGAACACGUCCGACGGUGAGGGAUGAAAGCUGGGGGAGCAAACCGGAUUAGAUACCCGAGUAGUCC